GACGAACGCUGGCGGCGUGCUUAACACAUGCAAGUCGAACGGAAAGGCCCUGCUUUUGUGGGGUGCUCGAGUGGCGAACGGGUGAGUAACACGUGAGUAACCUGCCCUUGACUUUGGGAUAACUUCAGGAAACUGGGGCUAAUACCGGAUAGGAGCUCCUGCUGCAUGGUGGGGGUUGGAAAGUUUCGGCGGUUGGGGAUGGACUCCCGGCUUAUCAGCUGGUUGGUGGGGUAGUGGCUUACCAAGGCUUUGACGGGUAGCCGGCCUGAGAGGGUGACCGGCCACAUUGGGACUGAGAUACGGCCCAGACUCCUACGGGAGGCAGCAGUGGGGAAUAUUGCACAAUGGGCGGAAGCCUGAUGCAGCAACGCCGCGUGCGGGAUGACGGCCUUCGGGUUGUAAACCGCUUUCGCCUGUGACGAAACGUGAGUGACGGUAAUGGGUAAAGAAGCACCGGCUAACUACGUG
rnacentral:rRNA from 1 species